rnacentral:rRNA from 1 species
AUUGAACGCUGGCGGUAUGCUUAAGACAUGCAAGUCGAACGGUAACAGGUUAAGCUGACGAGUGGCGGACGAGUGAGUAACGCGUGGGAAUCUACCUUGUAGUGGGGGAUAAGCCAGGGGAAACUUGGACUAAUACCGCAUACGCCCUAAGGGGGAAAGGCGCAAGUCGCUAUAAGAUGAGCCCGCGUCUGAUUAGGUAGUUGGUGGGGUAAAGGCCUACCAAGCCGACGAUCAGUAGCUGGUCUGAGAGGAUGAUCAGCCACGUCGGGACUGAGACACGGCCCGGACUCCUACGGGAGGCAGCAGUCGGGAAUAUUGGACAAUGGGGGAAACCCUGAUCCAGCAAUACCGCGUGUGUGAAGAAGGCCUGCGGGUUGUAAAGCACUUUCAGUUGGGAAGAUAAUGACGUUACCAACAGAAGAAGCACCGGCUAACUCCGUGCCAGCAGCCGCGGUAAGGCACGACUGU